rnacentral:rRNA from 1 species
AUUGAACGCUGGCGGCAUGCUUUACACAUGCAAGUCGAACGGUAACAGGCCGCAAGGUGCUGACGAGUGGCGAACGGGUGAGUAAUGCAUCGGAACGUGCCCAGUCGUGGGGGAUAACGCAGCGAAAGCUGUGAUAAUACCGCAUACGAUCUAUGGAUGAAAGCGGGGGAACGUAAGGCCUCGCGCGAUUGGAGCGGCCGAUGUCAGAUUAGGUAGUUGGUGGGGUAAAGGACCACCAAGCCAACGAUCUGUAGCUGGUCUGAGAGGACGACCAGCCACACUGGGACUGAGACACGGCCCAGACUCCUACGGGAGGCAGCAGUGGGGAAUUUUGGACAAUGGGCGCAAGCCUGAUCCAGCAAUGCCGCGUGCAGGAAGAAGGCCUUCGGGUUGUAAACUGCUUUUGUACGGAACGAAACGGUCUGGGUUAAUACCCUGGGCUAAUGACGGUACCGUAAGAAUAAGCACCGGCUAACUACGUGCCAGCAGCCGCCGUAACAC